GAUGAACGCUGGCGGCGUGCCUAAUACAUGCAAGUCGAGCGAACAGACGAGGAGCUUGCUCCUCUGACGUUAGCGGCGGACGGGUGAGUAACACGUGGAUAACCUACCUAUAAGACUGGGAUAACUUCGGGAAACCGGAGCUAAUACCGGAUAAUAUAUUGAACCGCAUGGUUCAAUAGUGAAAGACGGUUUUGCUGUCACUUAUAGAUGGAUCCGCGCCGCAUUAGCUAGUUGGUAAGGUAACGGCUUACCAAGGCAACGAUGCGUAGCCGACCUGAGAGGGUGAUCGGCCACACUGGAGCUGAGACACGGUCCAGACUCCUGCGGGAGGCAGCAGUAGGGAAUCUUCCGCAAUGGGCGAAAGCCUGACGGAGCAACGCCGCGUGAGUGAUGAAGGUCUUCGGAUCGUAAAACUCUGUUAUUAGGGAAGAACAAAUGUGUAAGUAACUAUGCACGUCUUGACGGUACCUAAUCAGAAAGCCACGGCUAACUACGUG
rnacentral:rRNA from 1 species